UACGGAAGGCAGCAGGGGGAAUAUUGCACAAUGGGCGCAAGCCUGAUGCAGCCAUGCCGCGUGUAUGAAAAAGGCCUUCGGGUUGUAAAGUACUUUCAGUCGUGAGGAAGGUGUUAAGGUUAAUAACCUUAGCAAUUGACGUUAGCGACAGAAGAAGCACCGGCUAACUCCGUGCCAGCAGCCGCGGUAAUACGGAGGGUGCGAGCGUUAAUCGGAAUUACUGGGCGUAAAGGGCACGCAGGCGGUUAAUUAAGUUGGAUGUGAAAUCCCCGGGCUUAACCUGGGAAUGGCAUUCAAGACUGGUUAGCUAGAGUCUUGUAGAGGGGGUAGAAUUCCAUGUGUAGCGGUGAAAUGCGUAGAGAUGUGGAGGAAUACCGGUGGCGAAGGCGGCCCCUGGACAAAGACUGACGCUCAUGUGCGAAAGCGUGGGGAGCAAACGAGGGAUUAGAUACCCGU
rnacentral:rRNA from 1 species